GAUGAACGCUGGCGGCGUGCCUAAUACAUGCAAGUCGAGCGAACGGACGAGAAGCUUGCUUUUCUGAUGUUAGCGGCGGACGGGUGAGUAACACGUGGAUAACCUACCUAUAAGACUGGGAUAACUUCGGGAAACCGGAGCUAAUACCGGAUAAUAUUUUGAACCGCAUGGUUCAAAAGUGAAAGACGGUCUUGCUGUCACUUAUAGAUGGAUCCGCGCUGCAUUAGCUAGUUGGUAAGGUAACGGCUUACCAAGGCAACGAUGCAUAGCCGACCUGAGAGGUGGACCGGCCACACGGGUACUGAGACACGGUCCAGAAUCCUAGGGGAGGCAGAAGGAGGGAAGCUUCCGCAAUGGGCGAAAGCCUGACGGAGCAACGCCGCGGGAGUGAUGAAGGUCUUCGGAUCGUAAAACUCUGUUAUUAGGGAAGAACAUAUGUGUAAGUAACUGUGCACAUCUGGACGGUACCUAAGCAGAAAGCCACGGCUAACUACGU
rnacentral:rRNA from 1 species